AUGGCAACAAUAGCUGGUCUGAGUCUCUCAAACCCUAGGCUUCUCUUCAACUCACCAGGAUUGGCACAAACCAUCAAGAUCUCACCAGCAUCACGGCAAAGCUUAACCGGAUCAGGACGGAUGAAGAUAGUUCAACCUCUUCGUGCUGCACCGGAACAAAUAUCUAAGAAGGUGGAGGAACUCAGCGCGGCUGCGAGCCAUGCAAGGGAUAGGAAGAAGGAGUCUGACCCGUUGGAGGAUUACUGUAAGGAUAACCCGGAGACUGAUGAGUGUAAGACUUAUGAUAACUGA